UACGUAGGGGGCAAGCGUUGUCCGGAUUUAUUGGGCGUAAAGAGCGUGUAGGCGGUCAGGUAGGUCCGUUGUGAAAACUCGAGGCUCAACCUCGAGACGCCGAUGGAAACCAUCUGACUAGAGUCCGGAAGAGGAGUGUGGAAUUCCCGGUGUAGCGGUGAAAUGCGCAGAUAUCGGGAAGAACACCCGUGGCGAAGGCGGCACUCUGGGACGGUACUGACGCUGAGACGCGAAAGCGUGGGGAGCGAACAGG
rnacentral:rRNA from 1 species